AUGGAAAGAUACCUGCUUCUGAUUUUAAUUGUGACUCCUGAUGUGAUGACUGCAGACCAGAUUGAACCAAAUAUAGGAACAAUCAUCAUUAAGAAAGAAGAUGAUAAAGUAAUUCUGAGCUGCUCAUAUGAUACAAGCAGCAGUUAUGUUAGACUUUACUGGUACAGACAGUAUCCUAAUACAGAACCUCAGUAUUUAAUUUGGAAAGAUGCUCGGUCACGGAGUGAUACUGGGACCCCCUCUGAUUCUCGGUUUCAGUCAACUACAUCACAAACAUCCACUGAACUCAUUACUAAUGGUGUAACUCUGUCAGAUUCAGCUCUCGACUACUGUGCUCUUUGGAACCCACAAAAAGUGAACGGAUCCCCUAAAUUCAUGCUGAACAAAAUCAGUACGUAUGGAGAUAAAAACCAAGAGUUCCAGGAGAGAUUUAAUGCAGAUAUCGACAGCUCUUCAAAAUCAGUUCCACUGACAAUCCAGGAUCUGCAUGUGUCUGACUCUGCUGUGUAUUACUGCGCUCUGCAGCCCACACAGAAAUCCUACAAGGGGUUUGCUCCUCACCCCUGCAUCCUAUCUCCGGCAAGAUGA